rnacentral:rRNA from 1 species
UACGGGGGGGCAAGCGUUGUUCGGAAUUACUGGGCGUAAAGGGCUCGUAGGCGGCCAACUAAGUCGGAUGUGAAAUCCCCAGGCUUAACCUGGGAACUGCAUCCGAUACUGGAUGGCUUGAAUCCGGGAGAGGGAUGCAGAAUUCCAGGUGUAGCGGUGAAAUGCGUAGAUAUCUGGAGGAAUACCGGUGGCGAAGGCGGCAUCCUGGACCGGCAUUGACGCUGAUGAGCGAAAGCUAGGGGAGCAAACGGGG